rnacentral:rRNA from 1 species
UUUCCAGCAGCCGCGGUAACACGUAGGGGGCGAGCGUUGUCCGGAUUCAUUGGGCGUAAAGAGCUCGUAGGCGGCUCAGUAAGUCGGGUGUGAAACCCUCAGGCUCAACCUGGGGACGCCACUCGAUACUGCUGUGGCUAGAGUCCAGUAGGGGAGUGUGGAAUUCCCGGUGUAGCGGUGAAAUGCGCAGAUAUCGGGAGGAACACCAGCGGCGAAGGCGGCACUCUGGGCUGGUACUGACGCUGAGGAGCGAAAGCGUGGGUAGCAAACAGGAUUAGAAACCCUCGUAGUCC